rnacentral:sRNA from 1 species
ACUAAGGUUCGAUUCGAGCGCAGCGAGAAAGCGUUGCCAACGGCAACGGCCCGAAGGGCGAAGCGCGCAGCGCUGAGUCAUCCUUCCCCCACCACCA